GACGAACGCUGGCGGCGUGCUUAACACAUGCAAGUCGAACGGUAAGGCCCUUCGGGGUACACGAGUGGCGAACGGGUGAGUAACACGUGGGUGAUCUGCCCUGCACUUCGGGAUAAGCCUGGGAAACUGGGUCUAAUACCGGAUAGGACUCCUGGCUUCAUGGUUGGGGGUGGAAAGCUUUGCGGUGUGGGAUGGGCCCGCGGCCUAUCAGCUUGUUGGUGGGGUAAGGGCCUACCAAGGCGACGACGGGUAGCCGGCCUGAGGGGGUGACCGGUCACACUGGGACUGAGAUACGGCCCAGACUCCGACGGGAGGCAGCAGUGGGGAAUAUUGCACAAUGGGCGCAAGCCUGAUGCAGCGACGCCGCGUGAGGGAUGACGGCCUUCGGGUUGUAAACCUCUUUCAGCUAUGACGAAGCGCAAGUGACGGUAGUAGCAGAAGAAGGACCGGCCAACUACGUGCCAGCCGCCGCAGUAA
rnacentral:rRNA from 1 species